UACGUAGGGUGCGAGCGUUAAUCGGAAUUACUGGGCGUAAAGCGUGCGCAGGCGGUUUUGUAAGCCAGAUGUGAAAUCCCCGGGCUUAACCUGGGAAUGGCAUUUGGGACUGCAAGGCUGGAGUGUGGCAGAGGAGACUGGAAUUCCUGGUGUAGCAGUGAAAUGCGUAGAUAUCAGGAGGAAUACCGAUGGCGAAGGCAGGUCUCUGGGCUGACACUGACGCUCAUGCACGAAAGCGUGGGGAGCAAGCAGG
rnacentral:rRNA from 1 species